rfam:Aedes albopictus isolate Foshan contig139696, whole genome shotgun sequence.
GGCUCGGUAUCUUAGUUGGUAAAGCACUUGUCUAGCGAAUAAGGGUCGUGAGUUCAAAUCUCACCUGAGCUG